AUCCUUUUGUAGUUCAUAAGCGUGAUGAUUGGGUUUUCACGCGCAUGCGUGAGAUGUGCCUCCCUCAAACCUUGUUACGACAUCGGCACAUUACCCGUCUGAUG
rnacentral:snoRNA from 1 species